rnacentral:rRNA from 1 species
GAUGAACGCUGGCGGCGUGCCUAAUACAUGCAAGUCGAGCGAACAGACGAGGAGCUUGCUCCUCUGAUGUUAGCGGCGGACGGGUGAGUAACACGUGGAUAACCUACCUAUAAGACUGGGAUAACUUCGGGAAACCGGAGCUAGUACCGGAUAACAUGUUGAACCGCAUGGUUCAACAGUGAAAGACGGUCUUGCUGUCACUUAUAGAUGGAUCCGCGCCGCAUUAGCUAGUUGGUAAGGUAACGGCUUACCAAGGCAACGAUGCGUAGCCGACCUGGGAGGGUGAUCGGCCACACUGGAACUGAGACACGGUCCAGACUCCUACGGGAGGCAGCAGUAGGGAAUCUUCCGCAAUGGGCGAAAGCCUGACGGAGCAACGCCGCGUGAGUGAAGAAGGUCUUCGGAUCGUAAAACUCUGUUAUUAGGGAAGAACAAAUGUGUAAGUAACUAUGCACGUCUUGACGGUACCUAAUCAGAAAGCCACGGCUAACUACGUG